UACGUAGGGGCCUAGCGUUGUCCGGAUUUAUUGGGCGUAAAGAGCUCGUAGGCGGCUUGGUAAGUCAGGUGUGAAAUCUCCACGCUCAACGUGGAGGGGCCACCCGAAACUGCCAUGGCUUGAGUCCGGUAGGGGAGUGUGGAAUUCCCGGUGUAGUGGUGAAAUGCGUAGAUAUCGGGAGGAACACCAGUGGCGAAGGCGACUUCCUGGCCUGUUCUUGACGCUGAGGCGCGAAAGCUAGGGUAGCAAACGGG
rnacentral:rRNA from 1 species